rnacentral:rRNA from 1 species
AGAGGGGGCCAGCGUUAUUCGGAAUUAUUGGGCGUAAAGGGCGCGUAGGCGGCCAUGCGUGUCUUCCGUGAAAUCCCUCGGCUUAACCGAGGACGUGCGGAAGAAACUGCAAGGCUCGAGUCCGGAAGAGGGGGGCGGAAUUCCCAGUGUAGCGGUGAAAUGCGUAGAUAUUGGGAGGAACACCAGUGGCGAAGGCGGUCCCCUGGGCCGGAACUGACGCUGAGGCGCGAAAGCGUGGGUAGCAAACGGGAUUAGAUACCCCGGUAGUCCACGCCGUAAACGAUGGGCACUUGGUGUCGCGGGUAUCGACCCCUGCGGUGCCGAAGCUAACGCAUUAAGUGCCCCGCCUGGGGAGUACGGUCGCAAGGCUG